UAAGUAAUAAGAAGUCAUUUUUAUUAAGGAUACAAUUCGAAAUAAUUAUAGAUUAUAUACAUUGUACACUGUCAGCGUUGAUUUAGGUCGAUCCAUUGGAAUGUUUAUUUACACACAUAUAUAAACAUUAUACCAUGGGAAUUCGUAGCACAUAAUCCUGAAACGAAUGUUUUUCGUGUUAAACCUUGUGCUUCCACAGAUAAUAACCAGGAUGUUUAUUUACAAGAUUCUUAUCAUUACUUCUAACCAACGGACACAAGCUUAUGUUCCCAAAAUGUAAACAAAAUAAGAAAAUCAACUGAAAUUUUUUUGUAAAUUAGGGCGCCAAUAUAAAUUAAAUUAAUAAGAAAGUGCUAACUACAAUAAACGCACUGGAAAGCUAUUUCGGAUAAAAUACAUCGGUUUUAGCGGACAUUAUUUAUGCAGAAUUACAGGAAAUCGUUAUUUGUUCUGGUCUUUUCUGAGCAUGGAUAUUUUUCGGAAGGUUUGUAUCCCUACAUGUAUAUGUAAUUAGAUACUAUUUCUAGUAAAUUUAAAUGGAAAGUUUGUUUUCCGUAAAAUAUUUUAGAAUGAAGUAUGUAUCGCUUUGGUAUUUAAAUGUUCAUUAUUUAUUUGUUCUGAUAUGUUGUUCAACAAGUAGUAUUUGUUACUUUGUGAUUUGUGAAAGGUGAACUGUUAAAUUUCAGAGUUCGCAUGCUAGUUCCCACAUACUGGAUUCAGAUUCAUUGGCAAUGGAGGCCUUGUGUACUAUGCAAUACAAAGAAAACUACAUUCAUGUGUCAACAUUUGCUGUUAUUAACAGGGAUAUAUACAGAUCAUUGUGGAUUAUAAAAAAAAGUUGGAUCUUUAAAAGCGGCCACGUUACCUAACUGGAAUAGUGUUUUGAAGGAGACGUAUUUUCGUAUUACUUUGAAUAUUACGAAUAUAUAGGCAUUUGUUUUCGUUAUGUGAAAUGAUAACGUUUCUCGAAAAUGUCAGGACGGAAACAUUCAAUAAUUACAUUCUAACCAUAUCAAGUUGUGUAAGAUGUGCAAACAGUGACAAAGAAUCAUGAUGGAAUAUAUUGAAAAUCGUGUAAUCUUUCACAAUUUGUAACUAUUUCUAUGAUGACUAAUGGCAAUACAUGCAAACAACAUGUAUUUUGUCUGUUUUCAGAAAGUUAAAUGCAAAAGGAAUUGUAUUCUUUUUAACACAGUAUCAGUUUCCUUGGACAUUCAGAUUUUCUUCUGUCAGAUUUCAAUUGUUUUGUAACGGCUUAUCGUAAUUCGGAUAGCAAAAUUGACACACACUAUUUAUUUCCUCUGUUUAUAGUUAUAUAAUUCAGAUAGUAAAGUCAAUGCUCUUUUUCUACUGCCUGCUCUCAAAUGGUGUUUAUCUGAAUUUGGAUAGCAAACGUAACGCACAGUUUCUCUACUGUUCGGUUCCAGAUCGUUUUACGCUGUUGCUUAGGCGAAUUCGAAUAACAAGGAUAAUACAUACACAUGAUCUAUUUCAUAUAUUCCUGAUGAAAUGCAAAACUUAUAGUUAUUUCAAUUCAGAUAGCCAAGUCAAUGCUAGGUUUUUUGAACUGCAUAAUUGCUUAUCUGAAUUUGGAUAGCAAACACAAAACACAAUUUUUAUUCUGUCAAACUUUAGAUAGUCAAUAUUGUUUGGACUUGUCUGAAUUCGGAUAAUAAUACUAUCUCACAAUUUGGUCAAGUGUAUUUACUUGUUGGUUUGAUGAUCAGGUACAAGGUUUCUUUCGUAAAUUAUCGUAUUUGGUAAAGUGUAUUUUCGCUUAGGACAGUGUAGCAUAAUGAAUAUUGGAUUUAACCUGACAGUAUUUUGUAUUUGUAUAAUUAAUAUAAAAUGAAUUGAAGUUAAUCAUAGUCUGCCUUUUAUCUGUUUUCGGAUAGAGCAGUUUUCUUAUACAUAUUUAAAUAUGUGGUUUCCUGUUCCCCGUUUGA